rnacentral:misc_RNA from 1 species
GUCAUUGGUGAUGGUGAUCUUGUUUUUCUGACCAGUUGUUUUAUCCUCAGCAGAGACAUUUAGAAUACCAUUUGCAUCAAUGUCGAAGCAUACAGUGAUUUGGGGGACACCUCUUGGUGCUGGAGGAAUGCCAGUGAGCUCAAACUUACCCAGCAAGUUGUUAUCUCUGGUUCUGGCUCUUUCACCUUCAUAAACUUGAAUCAACACACCAGGUUGAUUGUCGGAGUAGGUCGAAAACACCUGCUCUUUCUUAGUCGGAAUCGUGGUGUUCCUUGGAAUCAAGGUGGUCAUAACACCUCCAGCAGUCUCCAGACCAAGGGAAAGAGGUGUAACAUCCAACAGCAGAAGGUCCUGAACUUUCUCAUUCCCUUCACCACUCAAGAUUGCAGCU